rnacentral:lncRNA from 1 species
AUCUAACACAAAGAAUUGGUGAAUGGGCCAGGACAUUGCACGGUAUCUUCCGACAUGAGGCGGUGGCAGCUACGCAAAGACGCAAUGCUGUGGACACUGUUCUACCUCUCUGUUUUUCAAAAGAGCACAAUAGCAGAGAUAUCAAAUGACACCACUUACCCAGAUAGCACUGUGGAUUCCUCUACAGCAAGCACCAUAGCAGACACCACAUCCCUGAAUAGCACGAUAGCUUUCUCUACAGCUAGCACCAAAGCAGGU